AGCGAACGCUGGCGGCAGGCUUAACACAUGCAAGUCGAGCGGGCAUAGCAAUAUGUCAGCGGCAGACGGGUGAGUAACGCGUGGGAACGUACCUUUUGGUUCGGAACAACACAGGGAAACUUGUGCUAAUACCGGAUAAGCCCUUACGGGGAAAGAUUUAUCGCCGAAAGAUCGGCCCGCGUCGGUUUAGCUAGUUGGUGAGGUAAUGGCUCACCAAGGCGACGAUCAGUAGCUGGUCUGAGAGGAUGAUCAGCCACAUUGGGACUGAGACACGGCCCAAACUCCUACGGGAGGCAGCAGUGGGGAAUAUUGGACAAUGGGCGCAAGCCUGAUCCAGCCAUGCCGCGUGAGUGAUGAAGGCCCUAGGGUUGUAAAGCUCUUUUGUGCGGGAAGAUAAUGACGGUACCGCAAGAAUAAGCCCCGGCUAACUUCGUGCCAGCCGCCGCAGUAA
rnacentral:rRNA from 1 species